rnacentral:rRNA from 1 species
UGGGGAAUUUUGGACAAUGGGGGAAACCCUGAUCCAGCCAUCCCGCGUGUGCGAUGAAGGCCUUCGGGUUGUAAAGCACUUUUGGCAGGAAAGAAACGUCAUGGGUUAAUACCCCGCGAAACUGACGGUACCUGCAGAAUAAGCACCGGCCAACUACGUGCCAGCAGCCGCGGUAAUACGUAGGGUGCAAGCGUUAAUCGGAAUUACUGGGCGUAAAGCGUGCGCAGGCGGUUCGGAAAGAAAGAUGUGAAAUCCCAGAGCUCAACUUUGGAACUGCAUUUUUAACUACCGGGCUAGAGUGUGUCAGAGGGAGGUGGAAUUCCGCGUGUAGCAGUGAAAUGCGUAGAUAUGCGGAGGAACACCGAUGGCGAAGGCAGCCUCCUGGGAUAACACUGACGCUCAUGCACGAAAGCGUGGGGAGCAAACAGG